rnacentral:rRNA from 1 species
UAGGGAAUCUUCGGCAAUGGACGGAAGUCUGACCGAGCAACGCCGCGUGAGUGAAGAAGGUUUUCGGAUCGUAAAGCUCUGUUGUAAGAGAAGAACGAGUGUGAGAGUGGAAAGUUCACACUGUGACGGUAUCUUACCAGAAAGGGACGGCUAACUACGUGCCAGCAGCCGCGGUAAUACGUAGGUCCCGAGCGUUAUCCGGAUUUAUUGGGCGUAAAGCGAGCGCAGGCGGUUAGAUAAGUCUGAAGUUAAAGGCUGUGGCUUAACCAUAGUACGCUUUGGAAACUGUUUAACUUGAGUGCAAGAGGGGAGAGUGGAAUUCCAUGUGUAGCGGUGAAAUGCGUAGAUAUAUGGAGGAACACCGGUGGCGAAAGCGGCUCUCUGGCUANUAACUGACGCUGAGGCUCGAAAGCGUGGGGAGCAAACAGGAUUAGAUACCCUGGUAGUCCACGCCGUAAACGAUGAGUGCUAGGUGUUGGGUCCUUUCCGGGACUCAGUGCCGCAGCUAACGCAUUAAGCACUCCGCCUGGGGAGUACGACCGCAAGGUUG